rnacentral:lncRNA from 1 species
GGAGUGGGGCGGGAAAUGCGCUGGGGAGGCGAGGCUGUGCCGGGAUGCUGGGCCCAGCCUCUCCUGGGCCCCUAGAGCCAGCCCGGGAAAGAGGAGUUUAAGACCAAGCAUGUUCUGAGAACACCACACAGCAAGUACUGGGCUACAUGUUGUACAGACAUUCUCAUCAUGUCACUGGAACUUCUCAGCUAACCUGAGCCUUCCAGGGUUUCAGAGAAACUGUGAAGCAGAGGACUCAAUGAAAUGGUGCCUGAACUCCUAACCUGUAAGCUCUGAAAUAAAUAGGUGUUGCUUUAAACCAUUAAGUUUGCAGUAAUUUGUUUAUCUGUAACUAAUAAAGCACCUAUUCAAAAUGUGUCAUCAUCAUGCAGGUCAGAACCUUCUGAAAACCUGGGAAACUUUCUGUAGUCAGAAUCCACUACUCUACCACUAAUGUCUCUUCCAUCCGGCUCUGCAGCACCUGAGCAAAAGACCUCUGCAGCUGAGUCCAAAGAGCAUUCCCAUGUGAACCGAGCAACCAAGUAUCAUCGGAGUGAGUUUGUUAGAUUCUAGCCCCAUCCUGUGCUAGGCCUUAGGUAGACCUCUUACAGCUCACAAGAAAUGCAGUUUAUGAGGAAAGACCAUGAAUCGGGGGGCGGCCCGGGGAGGGUAUUACCAAACAGAUCAGCAUCAGGAACAUCAUUCCCAGAGAGAAAUUUGGCCAAUUGUCAGUUCAAGUACACAUCUCUCCCUCCUUUUACAGCAUAUUGCAAUAGAUUAUAGCCAUGCGAAAUAAUCCAUAAACUUAGCUAAUUCCACCAAACAGAUAGGAAAGAAGGUAGAGUCCUACAAGAGCCUAGUCAGAAUAAGAACUACAGUAAUUUUGCCAAAACCCUGUUAAGUUCUUGAAUAAUUCUGGUCAAAAUGGAUUUCAAUCUGAGUUAACUCACAGUCAACAAUUUGGCUGUUUUUCUUGCUUCUCACUCUACUGCCUUACUCUCUUCCACAGUGUUAAGUAGCCAUUUAAAUGGGUUUGUUCUGCUGCAGGUGGCUGAGCCUGGGAUUUCCAACUUGGGAGACUACACAGUGGACUCUAUAAUGAUUAGUGGCAGCAUCCAAUGUCUCUUCCAAGUCUAAAAUUUGUGAGUUUCAAAGUUGACUCUCCCCAAACCUGGCCUUUGCUGCCUCAGAUUCUGUCACUCUAGCAAGGCAGAGAGAGCAAAAGGGGCAAGACAAACCUCAUCAACAGCACAGAAAUCCCAGAAUCACACACUCUCUGGUCCAGCCAAGCCAAGUGUUUUUUUUUUUGUUGUUGUUGUUGUUUUUUAAAUCACCCUCCA